UUUCUCUGCAUGGAGCUGGAAGAAGCACGUACUUUACUGUCCUCCUGAGCCAGGGUCCUGGUGCCUGACCUCCCCUUGUUUCCUGUAGUGAGAACAGGAGCAAGGUCAGCAGUAAAAUAACUCAGUGCGAAUUAGGUGAAAUGCAUUUUCCUGCCAGCACUGAAAUCAGAUGGAGAAUAUCUCUCCCUUUUGUUGCAGAAUAGUCCUCUGCAGUGAUUAGAUAUGACUGGGAAAUACAGUACCCUUCACCAGCUUGUGAGAUUUGAGCCAUGUACCAGUGCCCCACGCAGCUGCUGGUGUGGUAGCAACGUAAUUGUGCAGAAUUUCCCAACUUUGUAGCCAAAAUAGGAAAAUGGUCAAAACGGAAACAAAAGUCACUCAAGCAAAUCUAAAUUAGAGCAAUUCGUGAUUCAGUUUGCAGUCACGCUUCCUGUUGCAAUGAAAGUUUCCCAUUCAGAGGUUUAUAUGCAUUUGAGCUUUUCACAAGCUACCAGUAAACUAUUGCAAUAGAACUGUGACCAGUUAGUAACCUCUCAGUUGCAUCCUAGCUGUACAGUAAGCUACAGGACAGCAGUCAAAGCCAAGUAUUUCACUCUACGAGCAGAGGAUUCCACAAUGGGAGUGAAUGCUGUAAACUGCUAGCAAAGCAGAGCUUACUGAGCCCAGUGGGCAGUUUGUACAUUGUGUAAUAAUUGGCGAUUAUAAGCAAACACCAGCAACUGGAUUGAUUUUUAGGAUUCAGGUCACUUCAAGAUACAAGAGUGCUGUGACAGAGGAAGGCAGCAACUGCGAGAGGAGGUUUCUGCAGCCUGGGAACGGGCAGCAAGCAAGCUGGCUGGCCCGGAGAGCGCUGGAGGGAGCUGUGGACGGAAGAGUUUGUGAAAAUGUGAGUUAUGCCACGAAGAGUAACGUUCUCGUGCUCGGAAGGAGCCGGUGGCCCAAGUCCGCGCGAGGAAACGGGCUGAGCAGAGCCAGGGCGGCCGGGAAGGGGACGCGGUCCGGGGCUGGGGACCUCAGCCAGGGUAAGAGCAACCAUCCAACAUAGUGUGUGUGGGGGGGGGGG
rnacentral:lncRNA from 1 species